CUCUGUGACUCCUACGGGAGGCAGCAGUGGGGAAUAUUGCACAAUGGGGGAAACCCUGAUGCAGCCAUGCCGCGUGUGUGAAGAAGGCCUUCGGGUUGUAAAGCACUUUCAGUAGGGAGGAAGGUAGUGUAGUUAACACCUGCAUUAUUUGACGUUACCUACAGAAGAAGCACCGGCUAACUCCGUGCCAGCAGCCGCGGUAAUACGGAGGGUGCGAGCGUUAAUCGGAAUUACUGGGCGUAAAGCGCAUGCAGGCGGCCUGUUAAGUCAGAUGUGAAAGCCCGGGGCUUAACUCGGAAUUGCAUUUGUAAACUGGCAGGCUAGAGUCUUGUAGAGGGGGUAGGAAUUUCAGGUGUAGCGGUGAAAUGCGUAGAGAUCUGAAGGAAUACCAGUGGCGAAGGCGGCCCCCUCGGACAGAUACUGACACUCAGAUGCGAAAGCGUGGGGAGCAAACAGGAUUAGAUACCCUGUAG
rnacentral:rRNA from 1 species